rnacentral:rRNA from 1 species
UACAGAGGUCUCGAGCGUUAGGCGGAAUCACUGGGCUUAAAGCGUGUGUAGGUGGAUCGUUAAGUACCUUGUGAAAUCCCACGGCUUAACCGUGGAACUGCUUGGUAUACUGGCGGUCUUGAGCCAGCUAGGGGCUACCGGAACAAAUGGUGGAGCGGUGAAAUGCGUAGAUAUCGGAAGGAACACCUGUGGCGAAGGCAGCGCCCUGGCCGCCAUCUGACGCUCAGGCACGAAAGCUGGGGGAGCGAACAGG